GUGGGGAAUAUUGGACAAUGGGCGAAAGCCUGAUCCAGCAAUGCCGCGUGAGUGAUGAAGGCCCUAGGGUUGUAAAGCUCUUUUACCCGGGAUGAUAAUGACAGUACCGGGAGAAUAAGCUCCGGCUAACUUCGUGCCAGCAGCCGCGGUAAUACGAGGGGAGCUAGCGUUGUUCGGAAUUACUGGGCGUAAAGCACGCGUAGGCGGUUUUUUAAGUCAGAGGUGAAAGCCCGGGGCUCAACCCCGGAAUUGCCUUUGAAACUGGAAAACUAGAAUCUUGGAGAGGUCAGUGGAAUUCCGAGUGUAGAGGUGAAAUUCGUAGAUAUUCGGAAGAACACCAGUGGCGAAGGCGACUGACUGGACAAGUAUUGACGCUGAGGUGCGAAAGCGUGGGGAGCAAACAGGAUUAGAUACCCCAGUAGUCC
rnacentral:rRNA from 1 species